UUAUUUGUUUUUAAUUGUUGAGCUGUAGGAGUUCUUUCUGUAUUCUGGAUAUUAACCUUUUAUCAAAGAUAUGAUUUGCAGAUGUUUUCUCCCAUUCCUUAGCUUGCCUUUUCACUCUGCUUAUUGUUUCCUCUGACAUACAGAUAUUUUUAAGUUUGAUGUAGUCCCAUUUGUCUAUUUUUGCUUUUGUUGCCUGGCAAGAGAGGGUUUUACAUAAUGUAACAUAAUCAUGGGAGUGACAUCUUAUCUCCCUAACCACAUUCUCUUGAUUAAAAGCAAGUCACAGGUCCUAGCAAUAUACACGUGGAGAGGAUCACACGAAGGCAUAAACACCAGGAGGCAGGAUCAUGGGGGCCACCUUAAAGUCUGUCUGCAUGCAAAGGCCAGUAAAAGCCUAUUUUUUAUUUAACAUUUAACAAACAUUUUUUAAGGUCUGUUUCCUGCCAAGCAUUGUGCUUGGGGAUUAUGAAAUAAAUGUGGCAUGGUCUCUGCUGUCCACGGGCUUACAGUUAAACAUUACAGGUUCUAGUUAUGGGUGAAAGGGAUCCAGCCUCCUAGAAAAAAGUGACAGGAACAAUCAGAACUGAGGGGGCAGAUACACGGUUUGUCGCUCGUCCAGUGUGACCUACCUCCUUGAGGCAGCCCUCCCUCUCUCCCCUUCUGGAGUCCUGUCCAAGGGAAGAUGACUGCCCACCACUCAGCUGAGGGGUUGAGGCUCUAACUCCUCAUAAAUACUUAGGAAACUUGCAAAGUACAGUCAGCCAUCCUUAGGCCUCCCAAAGUUUCAGCUCUUUGAAUCUAGGUAUGGAGGUUACUCAAUAAGAAGAUCAUAGGAAAUAAUUGCCUGUUAGUGCACAAAGUUUUAGACACCCCCUCUUUUCCCUGUGGCCCCUGGGUACAUGUAAUAGAUUUUAUAGUUCAAAAUCCAGCUUACCAAUCUUUGUACCAUUCACAAACUGGCAAUUAAAUGUUAACUGUGAAUCCAGAAAAUAGAGGAUACUUCAAAGAAGGAAAAGCAAGGGCAUGAACUCCACCCAAGCAGCCUCUGUGUGACCUGAGGAGCAAGGAACAGAUCCACAUUAGAGCCCUGAUGUGAGUGGAUGUUGGGCAUGUUCUGCUGGGGACAACAAAGGUUAUUACCUUAGGACUUAUUCCGGAGGCGGAGGAGAAGGUGCUGAAUCAUUCCUUUUGAAGAGAUGAUGGAGGUAGGAGAAGGGAUGCAAGAAGAUCAAAGGGGGACCCAGAACCAUAGGAUUGGGAGAACUGUAAUACAUUUUAAGGUCUCCUUAAAAGAUCAAUUAUAGAAGGGUGCUACAGGAGAGGAAGAAAUGAGAUCUGCAGCUAGCAUUUCUUAGUGCCUAUUAUGAGUGGCAUGCCCGGCUUGGCAUUUUACAGAUGUGAUUUCCUUUAGUCUUUUUUGUAAUGUUUGUUUAUUUAUUUUGAGAGAGAGAGCAUGAGCAGGGGAGGAGCAGAGAGACAGGGAGACAGAGAAUCCCAAGCAGGCUCCGCGCUGUCAAUGCAGAGCCAGACGCAGGGGCUCGAACUCACGAACCGUGAAAUCAUGACCUGAGCCGAAAUCAAGAGUUGGACGUUUAACCGACUGAGCCACCCAGGUGCCUCUUGAUUUCAUUUAGUCUUUUUGUUUUGUAUUAAACAUUUUUAAAUGUACUCCUGAAAUCAUUGUUGCACUAUAUGCUAACUAAUUUGGAUAUAAGUUAAAAAAAAGACUAAUGAAAAUAGAGAACACAAAAAAAUAUAUAUAUUGUACACCUGAAACUAAUAUAACACUAUAUGUUAACUAUACUCAAAUUAAAAUUGAAAUAGGGGAUGAGAUCAUGCCAUUUGAGAUAACAUGCAUGGACCUAGAAGGUAUUUUGCUACAUGAAAUAAGUGAGACUAAGAAAGACAAAUACUAUAUGAUUUCAUUCAUAAGUGGAAUCUAAAAAAACAAACAAAAAGCAGAAUUGAACCUAUAAAUACAAAGAACAAACUGAUGGUUGCCAGAAAGGAAGGGUGUGGGAGGUUGGGCAAAAUGGGUGAAGGGGAAUAGAAGAUACGGGCUUCCAGUUAUGGAAUGAGUAAGUCACAGCAUAAGGAUACAGUGGAUGAUAUUGUAAUAGCGAUGUAAUGGGACAGGUGGUAGCUACGUUGUGGUGAAAAUAGCACCAUGUAUAAACCUGUCAAAUCAUUAAGUUGUGCACCUGAAACUAAUGUAACAUUGUGUGUUAGCUAUGCUCAAAAAAAAAAAAAAAGAAAAAACAUCUUUUAAAAAUGUUUAUUUAUUUUGAGAGAGGCAGAGAGAGAGGGAGACACAGAAUCCAAAGCAGGCUCCAGGCUCCGAGCUGUCAGCACAGAGCCUGAUGUGGGGCUGGAACCCACGAACCGCGAGAUAAUGACCUGAGCUGAAGUUGGACACUUAAUUGACUGAGCCACCCAGUCAGGGAAAACUGGGAAUGAAAUCAGCCAUUUAUUUUAUUUUAUUUUAUUAAAAAAGCCUUUUUUUUUUUUUAAUGUUUAUCUGUUUUUGAGAGAGAGAGACAGAAUGCAAGUGGGGGAGGGGCAGAGAGAGAGAGGGAGACACAGAAUUCGAAGCAGGCUCCAGGAUCUGAGCUGUCAGCACAGAGCUCGACACGGGCUCAAACUCACGAGCCGUGCAAUCAUGAGCUGAGCUGAAGUUGGACGCUUAACUCACUGAGCCACCCAGAUGCCCCUGAAAUCAGCCAUUUAAAUAAAGCUAGCAUGGAUGAAUAUAAUCUGGAAUAGUAAGGGUUAAGAGUUUUUUUUUCUUCAAAGCCCCGCAACCUCUAUUGUUGAGAUUUCUGUCAUCGUAGAAGCAUAGAAUGGUAGUGAUUCACUAGUACAAAUUUCUCAUCUAAUAGCUAAGAAAACUGAAGCCCAGAGAGGGUGAAGUACUUGUCCAAGGUCACACAGCUAGAAGGUGGCAGAGUCAAAAAUACAAGUGAGGUCUCCUGAUUCUAAGUCAAGAGAUCUUUUACUAUACCUCAGAGGUCUUCUGGCAAAAAUGGAAAACUUAAAAACAGACAGUAUAUUAAAUAUUGUCCUAAGGCUGGAGUCCAGGUAGAAAACUGUAAACAUUCCACACAUUUGGUCUACUUCUCACUAGCGCAUGCUUUGUUUUAAUUAUGGCAAAGAAUGCUUGGUCUUGUUCCAGUCUACUCAGUUUCUUCUUCUUCCUAAGCCUUCUGUCUCUGGUCUCUGCCUUGUGCGCCCCCCACCCCCAACCCCUGCCCAUCCCAAGGACUGAUAAGUAGGACUCUGCUGUGUGAAUCACAAACACCUACAACUGAGACAAGCACACAAUCAACUUGCUAGGAGAUCCAUGCCACUUAAGAGGCUGCAGGCAGCUGCCCCCAUCCAGACUUCUUCACUGGAGAAUUCCAGAGGCCACAGAACUUCGCAUUCAUGGGGGAUUCCCCUCUGAACAUCUUGUCAACAGAGCACACACUCCUAAUCUGACAGGAGGAGUGGGUUUUCCUAUCCAGGCAGGUGACAUAGAGAAUGCCAGCCUGUUGACAUGAAGCCAAAGGGCAGUUGGCUCAGUAAGUACUUUUUGGGAGGUGGGGUUGAAUGUACUGUGUGGCAGCAAAAGCAGGAAAUUUGAGGCCAGGCAGACCUAGUUGCAAAUCCCAGUGCUGCCAGUUACCAGCUGUGUGAUUUUGGACAAGAUUCUUGAAUCUCAGUGUGCUUAUCUGUAAAAUGGAGUUAGAUCGUUUUGUCCUCUCACUAGUGUAAAUAUUAAAUGCUGUUGUGAGGGGCGCCUGGGUGGCUCAGUCGGUUAAGCGUCCGACUUCAGCUCAGGUCACGAUCUCGCGGUCCGUGAGUUCGAGCCCUCCGUCGGGCUCUGGGCUGAUGGCUCGGAGCCUGGAGCCCGUUUCCGAUUCUGUGUCUCCCUCUCUCUCUGCCCCUCCCCCGUUCAUGCUCUGUCUCUCUCUGUCUCAAAAAUAAAUAAACGUUAAAAAAAAAUUAAAAAAAAUAAAUGCUGUUGUGAAACCCUUUAUAGAGUGCUUAGAAUAUAGUUGGUACCCUCUAAAUGUUUAUUCCUUUCUGUCUGUCUGGUAAUACAAGGAGUAUAACAAUUUUUAGAUUAGGAAGAAUAAUUGUGAAUGGUCCAAUAAGAAGAGGGAAGGAUUUAUCUCUAAACCUAUUUUUAUCCUGCCCUUACACAGGAUCAUUCUCUUAUUCAUUGACCUUUGUCAUGAAGCUUUGACCUUCCUCAUGAAUAAUCACUGUGAUGUGAUUUAGUUAACAUUUGCCAACCAGUGAGGCCUUCCCAGUGAUCACAGAAUCAGGAGUCAUCACAGAGAUUAAUCCAAUUCAUUGAAAAUUCUCUUCAACAUGUCCAAGAAUCCCAGUGAACCCCAAGGUGCAUAAACACAAACCACACCAAGGCACUACACAAUCAAAUUUCUGAAAAGCAGGGAUAAAGACAAAAUCUUAAAGAUGAGACUAAUCACUGGUUUGUCAUCAAAAACAAUGCAAACCAGAAGAUAUUGGGAACAUCUUGAUUUUUUUAAAGUUUAUUUAUUUAUUUUGAGAAAGAGACUGCAUGGGAGGAGCAGAGAGCGAGAGAGGGAGAAUCCCAAGCAGGCUCUGUACUGUCAGUGCGGAGCCCGACACGGGACUCAAACUCAUGAACUGUGAGAUCAUGACCUGUGCUGAAAGCAAGAGUUGGAUGCUUAACUGACUGAGCCACCCAGGUGCCCCGGAACAACAUCUUUAAAGCAUUAAAAGAAAAACACUGUCAACCUCCAAUUUUAUAUCCAGUGAAAAUGUUCUUCAAAGAUGAAGGCAAAAUAAAGACAUUUCAGUGAAGCCAAAGCCAAGAGAAUGCAUCGCUAGUGAAUUUGCACUACAAGGAAUGCUAAGAGAAGUUCUUCAGGCUGAAGGAAAAGGAUACCAGAUGGACACAGGAGUUUACACAAAGGAAUGAAGAGUAAAUAUGGUCCUGCCCACACUGAAGAAAAGUGACAUGGAUACAAGACCUAGAUAUCAGGGAGUGGGAAUCUUGGGAUUCUGCCUGCUGCAAGCCCUGAAUGAGAGGCCUCUGAAUGGCUCUGUGCCUCUCUUAGGGAAAAUAGAUGAGGCCAAACAGAAGCCGUAUGUGGUGACCUGUGCGAUGCGCUAGUUACUUAUAUAAACUGAACGAAGCAGUCUAACAAUCCUGUAAAUAUCACACAUAAAGAUGAACCAGCUAGUGUCAUGUCGGUAUUUCUAAAGAUAAAGUAAAUCAGUACUACUGGCACCAUCCGGUUUUUGUGUGGUCCCAUCUCCAAAAAGCACGAAAUACAAAUUUAUACCCAAAACCGUGUUUUAUGAAUUCAAAUCACCAGCAUGAUUUUAGCAUGUAUGAAAUGUACAAAUCCUUACUGUAAAGUAAGUUUUGAAAGCUUGCAUGUACGGUGAAGCAUGAGCUUUUGCAAAGAGAGUGAUAUAUG